AUGAAAGUUUUUUUUUUUUUUUUUUUUUUUUUUUUUCCAUUU
rnacentral:ribozyme from 1 species